rnacentral:rRNA from 1 species
GAUGAACGCUGGCGGCGUGCUUAACACAUGCAAGUCGAACGGAAAGGCUCCUGCUUGCUGGGGUCCUCGAGUGGCGAACGGGUGAGUAACACGUGGGUCAUCUGCCUUGCACUUCGGGAUAAGCCUGGGAAACUGGGUCUAAUACCGGAUAGGAAGAUGUUUUGCAUGGCAUUGUGGAAAAGUUUUCGGUGUGGGGUGAGCUCGCGGCCGAUUAGCUUGUUGGUGGUGUAGUGGCCUACCAAGGCGUCGACGGAUAGCCGGCCGGGGAGGGUGGACGGCCACAUUGGGACUGAGAUACGGCACAGACUCGUACGGGGGGCAGCAGUGGGGAAUAUUGCACAAUGGGCGCAAGCCUGAUGCAGCGACGCCGCGUGGGGGAUGACGGCCUUCGGGUUGGAAACUGCUUUCGCUAGGGACGAAGCGCAAGUGACGGUACCUGGAGAAGAAGCACCGGCUAACUACGUG